rnacentral:rRNA from 1 species
UACGAAGGGGGCUAGCGUUGCUCGGAAUCACUGGGCGUAAAGCGCACGUAGGCGGACUCUUAAGUCAGAGGUGAAAUCCUGGAGCUCAACUCCAGAACUGCCUUUGAUACUGAAAAUCUUGAGUAUGGGAGAGGUGAGUGGAACUGCGAGUGUAGAGGUGAAAUUCGUAGAUAUUCGCAAGAACACCAGUGGCGAAGGCGGCUCACUGGCCCGAUACUGACGCUGAGGCACGAAAGCGUGGGGAGCAAACAGG